rnacentral:rRNA from 1 species
GAGUUUGAUCGUGGCUCAGAUUGAACGCUGGCGGCAUGCCUUACACAUGCAAGUCGAGCGGCAGCGCGGGGGCAACCCUGGCGGCGAGCGGCGAACGGGUGAGUAAUACAUCGGAACGUGUCCAGUAGCGGGGGAUAACCUGUCGAAAGAUAGGCUAAUACCGCAUACGACCUACGGGUGAAAGCGGGGGACCGCAAGGCCUCGCACUAUUGGAGCGGCCGUUGUCGGAUUAGCUAGUUGGCGGGGUAACGGCCCACCAAGGCGACGAUCCGUAGCUGGUCUGAGAGGACGAUCAGCCACACUGGAACUGAGACACGGUCCAGACUCCUACGGGAGGCAGCAGUGGGGAAUUUUGGACAAUGGGCGCAAGCCUGAUCCAGCCAUGCCGCGUGAGUGAAGAAGGCCUUCGGUUGUAAG